UCUCCGUAGGUGAACCUGCGGAGGGAUCAUUACAGAGUUCAUGCCCUAACGGGUAGAUCUCCCACCCUAUGUUAUCAUCACUUUGUUACUUUGGCGGGCCGUCAGGCCUCGGCUUGGCUACCGGCUCUCGCUGGUAAGCGCCCGCCAGAGAACCCCAAACCCUGAAUAUCAGUGUCGUCUGAGUACUAUAUAAUAGUUAAAACUUUCAACAACGGAUCUCUUGGUUCUG
rnacentral:misc_RNA from 1 species